UUCCUCAGUAGCUCAGUGGUAGAGCGAUCGGCUGUUAACCGAUUGGUCGCAGGUUCGAAUCCUGCCUGGGGAGU
rnacentral:tRNA from 2 species